AGGAGAUCUAUCAAAUGAUAUGCAUAUUGUGUUGAUAAGUGAAACACCACGUGAUUACAGAGCCAAUAAACUCGUUAGCGCCAACUAGUGGCCGAUUUCUUUCAAAAUUCUUACAGACCUUAAGGUUCAUGAGUCAAACGUACCCAGCGAGUUUCGUUCCGAUCAACAUCCGUUAACCCUUUCAAAUAGGUGCUUAAAAUUGUUUGGCCAAUGGCGGCCAUGUUUUUUGAGAUAUGCAAAUGUCCUCAUAAGUACUUGUGCCCCUUCAGACCAAGACACUGCAUACCAAUUUUCAAGUCGAUCGAGCCAACGGUUGCCUAGUUAUAGCCAUUUAUGUGUUUUUUCUAUCUUAUUGCGCCCCCAAGUGGCAGAGAUGCGCAUUUUUUUUUUAUUUUACCCAAAAUUGAGCUCAUACAUAUGUGUACCAAGUUUGGUGAAGUUAUCGCAUUCCGUUCAAGAGUUAUAGUUAAAAUAGCAUUUGGCCAACGUUACUAUAGACGCUUUUUGGCGUACUGUUUCGCGUAAAAAUUGAAAUUUCAACUUUUUUUUGAUAAUUAUUGAUAUUGAGUGUCCAGGGAAUAUUUCUGAAGUGGUUUGGUUCUGAUUGGU